AAAUCUUCCUAUUAAUAUCGAGAGCCAAGCCAUUAAAGCGGCGGAAUGCUUCAUAGUGGCUUGCAACAGCCUUCAUUCGACGAUAUGGCACACCCCUCCCACAACGGAACCAACCAACAGUGGUUAUGGCGAGGCACGUAUU
rnacentral:lncRNA from 1 species